rnacentral:lncRNA from 1 species
GUACGACAUGUGGAUGUUGGUGAAGCAAGGUACUUGCCAAAAUGCUACAUCAGAAUCAGUGUUGAGCAUUGCCGAGUGGAUGCUAUAUUUUAUUAACUUUCAUGUGAUAAAAGUGGAAUACAGUGCAAACCAAUGCAGACUGAAAUCUUUGGAUUUACAAAGACAAUGAGUUUCUAGUAGUGGACACCUGUAGAACGUUCAAGUAAAUGGCUCGGAAUAUAGGCUGCGUUAUCUGGUUCAUUCCAAGUAAGGGUGGUGCUGAGAAAUCAUUCAGCUAUGGUACCUAUAGUUAUAUUCUCUUUGGACAACUAUGGAGGCUAAUGAGCAUUGUGCAGAGAACAUCUGGGCUGCAGAGUUCACACAGCUGGAUAAAUGUUGCACCCUGUGGUUGCUUUAUUCCCUCUUGGAUGGAAAAGGAGGUGCCGAGCAUAUUAUCUGACCUGGACAGAAGGCCAAGAUGGCGUGGUGGCAACAGUGUUUCCAUUCUGCCUGCAUUUGUCCUCAUUUCCCCUUUUCUCUGCAUCCACACUGAAAUAAAACUGAG